rnacentral:ncRNA from 1 species
AAUAAAUCGUUGACAUUAGAGUAGUAAUUAUAUUUGUCUUUGUAGAGAGCUUAGGUUUGGUGAAACUAAGUAAGAAAAAUAUUAUGAAUUCACUAAUUGAGUUGCUUUAAUAGAGCACGUUUCCUAGCGUUAAUAGGUUAUGAGUGUGUAAUUAAUAAUAUUAUUAAUUAUAAAUUAAGGUGGUACCGCGAUUAUUCGUCCUUAGG